rnacentral:sRNA from 1 species
AUGGCUGAUUUAUUUGCUCCUGCUCCUGAACCAUCUACAGAGUUAGGACGUCUCAGAGUUCUUUCUAAAAGUGCUGGUAUUAGAGUUUCCCCUCUCAUUUUGGGAGGAAUGUCAAUUGGCGACGCUUGGUCUGAAAUCCUAGGAUCAAUGAGCAAGGAGCGAGCUUUUGAGUUGCUCGAUGCUUUUUAUGAGGCAGGUGGAAAUUUCAUUGAUACUGCAAAUAAUUAUCAAAACGAACAGUCAGAAGCUUGGAUCGGUGAAUGGAUGGUUUCAAGAAAAUUACGCGACCAGAUUGUAAUCGCCACCAAGUUUACCACUGACUAUAAGAAAUACGACGUUGGUGGUGGUAAAAGCGCAAACUACUGUGGCAAUCACAAGCGUAGUUUGCAUGUGAGUGUGAGGGAUUCUCUCCGCAAAUUGCAAACUGAUUGGAUUGAUAUACUUUACGUUCACUGGUGGGAUUAUAUGAGUUCUAUCGAAGAAGUUAUGGAUAGUUUACACAUUCUAGUGCAGCAGGCAAGGUCCUCUAUUUGGGUGUGUCUGAUACGCCUGCCUGGGUUGUUUCUGCGGCAAAUUACUACGCUAAAUCUCAUGGUAAAACCCCUUUUAGCAUCUAUCAAGGUAAAUGGAACCUGUUGAACAGAGACUUCGAACGUGAUAUCAUUCCAAUGGCUAGGCAUUUCGGUAUGGCCCUCGCCCCAUGGGAUGUCAUGGGAGGUGGAAGAUUUCAGAGUAAAAAAGCAAUGGAGGAACGGAGGAAGAAUGGAGAGGGUAUUCGUUCUUUCGUUGGCGCCUCUGAACAAACAGAUGCAGAAAUCAAGAUUAGUGAAGCAUUGGCCAAGGUUGCUGAGGAACAUGGCACUGAAUCUGUUACUGCUAUUGCUAUUGCCUAUGUUCGCUCUAAGGCGAAAAAUGUUUUUCCAUUGGUUGGAGGAAGGAAAAUUGAACACCUCAAACAGAACAUUGAGGCUUUGAGCAUUAAAUUAACACCAGAACAAAUAAAGUACUUAGAAAGUAUUAUUCCUUUUGAUGUUGGUUUUCCUACUAAUUUUAUCGGUGAUGAUCCGGCUGUUACCAAGAAGGCUUCACUUCUCACGGCAAUGUCUGCGCAGAUUUCCUUCGAUUAA